CAAUCCCCCGUAUCUCUAGGCCAUGUGGUGACGGAAGAUUUAUUCCGGACUAAGCGACGAGUCGCGGGAGCCCGUGGAGAACCAGAAGACUAGAGAUAGCAAAACCCAAAAAGUUGUUUGUUGUCUUCUUCUUCCUC
ensembl:ncRNA F53A9.11 ncRNA